rnacentral:rRNA from 1 species
AAAUGACUCUCGGCAACGGAUAUCUCGGCUCUCGCAUCGAUGAAGAACGUAGCGAAAUGCGAUACUUGGUGUGAAUUGCAGAAUCCCGUGAACCAUCGAGUCUUUGAACGCAAGUUGCGCCCGAAGCCAUCUGGCCGAGGGCACGUCUGCCUGGGCGUCACGCA